AUCCUUUUGUAGUUCAUAAGUGUGAUGAUUGGAUGUUCAUGCUGCUGCGUGACAUGUGCCUCCCUCAAACCUUGUUACAACCUCGGCACAUUACCCAUCUGACA
rnacentral:snoRNA from 1 species